rnacentral:rRNA from 1 species
GGGUCAGUAGGUUGGUCGUGCCACCGGUACGUACUGGUCUCACUGAUUCCUCCUUCCUGAAGAACCGUAAUGCCAUUAAUUUGGUGUUGCGGGGAAACAGGGCUGUUACUUUGAAAAAAUUAGAGUGUUUAAAGCAGGCUAACGCUUGAAUACAUUAGCAUGGAAUAAUGAAAUAGGACGAUCGAUCCUAUUUUGUUGGUUUCUAGGAUUGACGUA